rnacentral:rRNA from 1 species
AAUGGGUCAGCGACUUAUAUUCUGUAGCAAGGUUAACCGAAUAGGGGAGCCGAAGGGAAACCGAGUCUUAACUGGGCGUUAAGUUGCAGGGUAUAGACCCGAAACCCGGUGAUCUAGCCAUGGGCAGGUUGAAGGUUGGGUAACACUAACUGGAGGACCGAACCGACUAAUGUUGAAAAAUUAGCGGAUGACUUGUGGCUGGGGGUGAAAGGCCAAUCAAACCGGGAGAUAGCUGGUUCUCCCCGAAAGCUAUUUAGGUAGCGCCUCGUGAAUUCAUCUCCGGGGGUAGAGCACUGUUUCGGCAAGGGGGUCAUCCCGACUUACCAACCCGAUGCAAACUGCGAAUACCGGAGAAUGUUAUCACGGGAGACACACGGCGGGUGCUAACGUCCGUCGUGAAGAGGGAAACAACCCAGACCGCCAGCUAAGGUCCCAAAGUCAUGGUUAAGUGGGAAACGAUGUGGGAAGGCCCAGACAGCCAGGAUGUUGGCUUAGAAGCAGCCAUCAUUUAAAGAAAGCGUAAUAGCUCACUGGUCGAGUCGGCCUGCGCGGAAGAUGUAACGGGGCUAAACCAUGCACCGAAGCUGCGGCAGCGACGCUUAUGCGUUGUUGGGUAGGGGAGCGUUCUGUAAGCCUGUGAAGGUGUACUGUGAGGUAUGCUGGAGGUAUCAGAAGUGCGAAUGCUGACAUAAGUAACGAUAAAGCGGGUGAAAAGCCCGCUCGCCGGAAGACCAAGGGUUCCUGUCCAACGUUAAUCGGGGCAGGGUGAGUCGACCCCUAAGGCGAGGCCGAAAGGCGUAGUCGAUGGGAAACAGGUUAAUAUUCCUGUACUUGGUGUUACUGCGAAGGGGGGACGGAGAAGGCUAUGUUGGCCGGGCGACGGUUGUCCCGGUUUAAG